rnacentral:tRNA from 1 species
GUUCUUAUAAUAUAAAUAAUAUAUAAUAUUUUCAGUGUUAAUAUGAAUUACUGAAUUCUAAGAAUG